UUUAUAGUUGUUGUCAAGGUCCAGAGAAGUAAGUGAGUAAAAAAUCACACAAAUCUGAUUUUGGGAUGAACUUACCCUUUAAGGAAGGCAGGAAGUUACUACGUGAAGUUUGGAUGCCAUGCCAUAUGGUGUGGCUUUAGACACUUGAGCAUGUGUUCCCAGUGGAGUCCUGCAGUAGCGAAUGACACGUGAGUGAGUGCAUUGCAUUGUGGGAUACACACAGUGUGCUCUGGUUGUAACUGUGAAGAGCAGACAUACAGCAGGAGUAGUCGUGCGGUGAACGGCUAUGAACGGCUCAGCGUUUGGUCUCUCGCCUACAUGAAGGAGUUUAUCCCCUCCAGACCCCCAGAGGCCCGGCUCAGGGUCUGCUCUCCUGAGACACCAAACACCUUUAUCCUGCCUCUCAUCUGCUGUGGAUAUAACAGCACAUGUGUGAAGGUUUAAAUCAAACAGACUCCUGAUCCUGUCUCCUGCCGUCUGUCUCUGAUCCAGCUCUGCUCACGCUCCACUUCGGGUUUUGGAUCUCGCAUGUUCCCAGAGUGUAAAAACUUCUGCGCUGUGAUUCAUGCAGACCUUGAGGAGAACCGUGAAUGCACCAGGAAACAGUGAGGUGAGAAGGAAAUGUGAGAGAACCGUGGGCUUCUCAUCCCGCGUGAGGGUCAUGGGCCUGUGGGUGGAGGGAGUGGGCCGCGCACAACAAAAGCAUCUCGAGCAUCCUUCCAUCGACUCGAUGAAAUGUCAGAACAUCAGGCUACAUUUAACCACGAAUACAACCGCCCCCUAUAUUUCUACUGCAAUCGACUCUCAAACCUGCACAUCUUUGCUCUGGAAUAUUUCAUUGUGAAGUGUCAUUUUAUUUUUGCACAUCCCCUGGUGACUCUCGUCGGGCAGGUGACAUCUCACUGAAACAGCUCUCUCAGCAGGGUCCUCCCCCGCAUGCCCUUCUACCCCAUCAUAUUUGAUUUCUCAGGGUGGAACAGAGUGAACGCUAUAGAGAAGAGACCCAUCUGCAGUUUUCUAACUGAACCAACAUCAUCAUCACUCAAAUGUAUCACAAUAGAAUAGAAUAGAAUAGAAUAGAAUAGAAUAGAAUAGAAUAGAAUAGAAUAGAAUAGUUUAUAGAGACAUGAUAUAAGUUUAUAAACAGUGAAUGAGUUCUGAGUGUGGAUGUGUGGCGUUCUCUCAGUGGUUGUGUCGUGGCGUGUAUCCUCUAUUGUCACACUCUUUCUUUAGCUUCCUCACUGUGUGUGUGUGUGUGUGUCCUACUUUUGUGCACG